CUAACGGAGAGUUUGAUCCUGGCUCAGGAUGAACGCUGGCGGCGUGCAUAAUACAUGCAAGU
rnacentral:ncRNA from 1 species